UUUAGUCAAGUGCGAUGAGUUCUUUAGAAGAAGACACAAGUGACCCUGAGAAGGCAUAAACAGAGCCACUCUUUGGAAGCGUCUAGUCCACCACCCUGAGACAAAAGUCGACAUUUGCUUUUCACUUCAUUUAAGUUCCUUGAUACUACCAAACUGUCUUCCAUACAAUUAUGGUGGGUUAG
rnacentral:lncRNA from 1 species